rnacentral:lncRNA from 1 species
AGAAAAAAACCCAGAUGCUGUAAUUAUUGCUGCUCUUGUUUAGGUAAGCACAUACGAAGAUUUGGCCAGGGUGCAUCAUGUGGCCUGCCAGACGGACCCACCAAAACUGUGCACAGUUGCCACCCAGCUUUCAAUAACAACUCUACGACCUCACUACAGGAGCACAGGUGUACAGGCAACCAUGCCAUGCCCUGAUGUUGAUGUUGGCACCUCAGAACCACCGCUGUCGUCAGCACCAAUAAAGAUGCCUCGCUUGGAGCUGAAGGAGGAAGAGGAGGACCAGGAGAGCCACUGGGUUCUGCAAAUGAUCGUGUAGAUGCUGUCACCACUUUCACUGGCAGCAGAUGUGACAAUGGAAUCUUCCAAGAUGGCUCAUUAGACAGCAACAUAUAUUGUUUCUGAAAACUGCCUGCUGGGGC